UGCGUAGGCGGACUAAUAAGUCAGUGGUGAAAGCCUGAUGCUUAACAUCAGAAUUGCCAUUGAUACUGUUAGUCUUGAGUAUGGUUGAGGUGGGCGGAAUGUGUCAUGUAGCGGUGAAAUGCUUAGAUAUGACACAGAACACCAAUUGCGAAGGCAGCUCGCUAAACCAUAACUGACGCUGAGGCACGAAAGCGUGGGGAGCAAACAGGAUUAGAUACCCUGGUAGUCC
rnacentral:rRNA from 1 species